GACUGUAAUGGUCCAACGGCGAAGACGUUCACAACGCCCAGCCGUCCAUCCCAAUCCAUUAAGCUCCCCUUCGCCGCGUCCCACCCGAACGCUGCGGUGGCCGCCCACUCGCACGGGUAACCUGCGAUGCUGGUAACAUUACUGUGGCCCUCAGCACUGGAGACGACCCUUGAGGGAGGUUUCACUCUGCAGAGACUUCUCCCCCGUCGCGUGGCGGGCGGGAUCACGUUCUGGCGAGGGGCUUGGGAUGACAUGGCUGUGAUAGAACAGUUCGACGCUAUCUU
rnacentral:SRP_RNA from 1 species